GGCCAUCAUAUCCCUCUAACGCACCCCUUUUUUUUUCCUCCUUCAUGAAAACAACCACAUAUAAAUAGUUCCACGUUCUAUCUUAAUUCCUUCUUUCUCAAAACACAACAACCUUUUCAUCCCAACACAGACGUAUCUCAAUCCAUAUGUCUCUGACAGGCCGUCCUCGUAUUGUUGUUAACGGGGUUCGAAGAACGAGAACUUUUCACUAUUUCUGGUGCCUAUAUUGCCAGAGAACCGUGAGGUUACCCUUUACAAACAAUGAUGGUUCUACGUGCCCCUAUUGCUUCCACCAACUGCGUUAUGAGCUUGAUAUCUCAAGGCCAAGGCUUCUCAUGAACGUGCCAAAUAACUUGGAGCCUUCACAAGCCACUCAACUAAUGCAUAACUUGGCUCUCAUUCUUGAUCCACCUCUUAGGAGGCAAAACAACAACCAUUUGAACACAACCCCACAUUGGGAAACUGAAAAUGAAGAUGGUUUAAAUCCUCAGGCUUGGAUUACACUCCGAUUUCCAAGGCCAACUCGUCCUCCUAGGCCUAUUUCCCCACCACAAAAUUUGGUUCCCCAGACCAAUGACACUGAUCAUGACACCCUUUUUGAGAACACAAUAUUAGAUGACUUCAUUGAUGGGGUGAUUCAGAACAAUAAUAGACCGGGGCCACCUCCAGCAACAUCUUCAGCCAUUGCAGCAUUGCCGAUGGUGAAAUUGACACAAACCCAUUUGGCAAGUGACCCCAAUUGCCCAAUUUGCAAAGAUGAGUUCGAGCUUGAUAUGGAAGCCAGAGAGUUGCCAUGCAAGCAUUUCUACCAUUCUGACUGCAUCAUCCCUUGGCUGCGCAUGCACAACACUUGCCCUGUGUGCCGCUAUGAGCUACAAGGUGUUAGUACUAGUGGUAAUGCUAAUUACUACCGUUUACAAAAUGAUGAGAAUGACAUGAGGUUUGGGUUUGAGGAUGCUGCAAGCAGCUUGGUCUGGGUUUGGAACCAAUUGACUUCGUUUAGGCCUAUCCGUUCUGUUCUAGAUUGGACACGGUCCUACUUUAAUUUCCAAGAAGAUCAUGUUCGUGGUCGUAGAGGUAGCUCUUGGUGGCGAGCAUUGUUUGUUAUAUAGCUUCAUCUGUGAGAUCUCUCGUACUCAUGAAACCUGGCUUAUCAUAUUAGAAUUAUUCCACUUGAUUAAUAUUAAGCAGGUAAAAGGUGGACAGCAACUCAUUUCAAGAACACGGAUGGAAUUGAUACAGAAGUUCUCAUAGGCUACUUCUGGUGCAUGUGCCCACAAGUUAUGACUGAAAAAAACAUUAUUUAUUGGUGAAGAACUACAUUUCAAAAUGAGAUCUUCACUUGUGUCCUAAUUUUAUUUAUUCUUUACUGUCCCUCUCUUGUCUAUAUAAAUACAUAGCUUUUACUUUCUUUGCCCAUAAAUCUCUUGAAUGUGAAUGUUUGCGGUAAUUCCUUUGCUAAUGUGAGGAUGCCACAUAUUUCUUUGGGGCAUUUUAUAUAUGCAAAUUAUUAUGAUUUCAUUAAAAUUAUGAAGCUAAAAUAAGAAGGCAAAAAGAAUGUAGCCUAGCAAGAAAAAGCCAUUUGAUAUAAAUUAAUUGAGAAAAAAUCGAUUAUAUAAUUUGUCUGUAUACGUAUAAAAAAACUACACUGCACAUAUGAUAAAAAUAAUAAUUAUUAGACUGCUUUCUAUGUUGUGUGAAAUGAUAUGAUGAGAUCAUUCAUGCAUAUAGUGCAUAUAUCUACACAUUUUUUAGGUUCUCUUUUUUUUUUUCUUACGGAUAUUAUUAGCUAGUAAAGUUUAUUUAUUUUAUUUGAAAAUUCUCACAAAAAAUGUAAGCAAUCUUUAUUCAGUUUAUUGUAAGUAAACCUUUAUUAAAUUCUUAAGACAGAAAAGAGAGAGAGGAAGCAACAUAAUUGAGUAGUGGUGACUAGUCUGUUCUCUGUGGAAAAGUUGUUGUGUGAAGAGAAGCGAAUGGUAGGAUUGAAUGUGUCUCAGCCAUUUUUGUCACCGAUUUGCAAGACGGCACCUUACCCACUUGAUCUCAUAGCCACCGCCGCGUGCCUCCACUUCGGCCACCUUCUCCGCCGCCGCGCCACCCACCAUCCCCGCCUUGGGGUUCUUCUUCACUCCUGUUUCAAGUUAUCUUAUGGGAACCGAUUGAAAUGGAGGUCACAAGUAUCAUGUCGUUUAAGAAGAUUGAAGGAUUAGUGGUGUCAGAGAUGCCUUCAACUCAAUGGGUUGAACUAUCUUCAACUAUCAACUGGCGAUUUGACUUCCUCAUGUUCAACUAGUUUCUCCUUCUUUAAUGGGGGAGGAGAUGGAGGCCGCUUUGGAAAGGCUGGGAUUUCCAACUCCAAGAUGUCUGGUAAAGAUCCAUUUAAUGGAAGGAAAUGGACAGAAAUUCUCCUUGCUGCCAAUGUUUUGUAAGUAUUAGCAUAUUCCCUUGAAUAGUCAAUCAAGUUUAUGACUUCAAUGUGUGCAUUUUUCUGUAAGCCUGUAAAUUCAAGCAGUUUGUACGAUCGUUUUUGGUUCUGUAUGUUGCUGUUUCUGUUUUACUAGCUGAUCUUAUUGUUGUUGCAAAUUUACAUACAACUUGGUAAGAUUGCUUAUUGUUUACUGAUUAUUUGCACAAAUUUUAUAUUGCACAACUUGCAACCCAAGGCAAGCUAUUAUUGUGGGGAGCAAAGGUAACUUUGCAAUUAACAAUCUGAAUACAUGUCCGAAACGUUGUGGAGUCUUUACUUGUGUGCUCUGUAUGUUAACAGAUAAAUAGUCUAAUUGAAAAAGGACAACUUUGGAGA